rnacentral:rRNA from 1 species
GGAUAACGUUUGGAAACGAACGCUAAUACCGCAUGAUAUUAUCUUAUCGCAUGAUAGGAUGAUCAAAGGAGUGAUCCGCUGAAAGAUGGGCUCGCGUCCGAUUAGGUAGUUGGUGAGGUAACGGCCCACCAAGCCGACGAUCGGUAGCCGGACUGAGAGGUUGGACGGCCACAUUGGGACUGAGACACGGCCCAGACUCCUACGGGAGGCAGCAGUAAGGGAUAUUGGUCAAUGGGGGAAACCUUGAACCAGCAACGCCGCGUGAGGGAAGACGGUUUUCGGAUUGUAAACCUCUGUCCUCUGUGAAGAUGAUGACGGUAGCAGAGGAGGAAGCUCCGGCUAACUACGUGCCAGCAGCCGCGGUAAUACGUAGGGAGCGAGCGUUGUCCGGAUUUACUGGGUGUAAAGGGUGCGUAGGCGGCUAUGCAAGUCAGUAGUGAAAUCCAUGGGCUUAACCCAUGAACUGCUAUUGAAACUGCACAGCUUGAGUGAAGUAGAGGUAGGCGGAAUUCCCGGUGUAGCGGUGAAAUGCGUAGAGAUCGGGAGGAACACCAGUGGCGAAGGCGGCCUACUGGGCUUUAACUGACGCUGAGGCACGAAAGCGUGGGUAGCAAACAGGAUUAGAUACCCUGGUAGUCCACGCUGUAAACGAUGAUUACUAGGUGUGGGGGGACUGAACCCUUCCGUGCCGGAG